rnacentral:lncRNA from 1 species
GUGUGACUGUGUGUGUUUAUGAGGUGUGACUGUGUGUGUUUAUGAGGCGUGACUGUGUGUUUAUGAGGUGUGACUGUGUGUGUUUAUGAGGAGUGACUGUGUGUGUUUAUGAGGUGUGACUGUGUGUGUUUAUGAGGUGUGACUGUGUGUGUUUGAGGUGUGACUGUGUGUGUUUGAGGUGUGACUGUGUGUGUUUAUGAGGUGUGACUGUGUGUGUUUAUGAGGUGUGACUGUGUGUGUUUAUGAGGAGUGACUGUAUGUUUAUGAGGAGUGACUGUGUGUUUAUGAGGAGUGACUGUGUCUGUUUAUGAGGUGUGACUGUGUGUGUUUGAGGUGUGACUGUGUGUGUUUAUGAGGAGUGACUGUGUGUGUUUAUGAGGAGUGACUGUGUGUUUAUGAGGAGUGACUGUGUGUUUAUGAGGAGUGACUGUGUGUUUAUGAGGAGUGACUGUGUGUGUUUAUGAGGUGUGACUGUGUGUGUUUAUGAGGAGUGACUGUGUGUGUUUAUGUGGUGUGACUGUGUGUGUUUAUGAGGAAUGACUGUGUGUGUUUAUGAGGAGUGACUGUGUGUGUUUAUGAGGUGUGACUGUGUGUAUUUAUGAGGAGUGACUGUGUGUUUAUGAGGAGUGACUGUGUGUGUUUAUGAGGAGUGACUGUGUCUGUUUAUGAGGUGUGACUGUGUGUGUUUAUGAGGUGUGACUGUGUGUGUUUAUGAGGUGUGACUGUGUGUGUUUAUGAGGUGUGACUGUGUGUGUUUACGAGGACUGACUGUGUGUGUUUACGAGGACUGACUGUGUGUGUUUAUGAGGUGUGACUGUGUGUUUACGAGGAGUGACUGUGUGUGUUUAUGAGGAGUGACUGUGUGUUUAUGAGGAGUGACUGUGUGUGUUUAUGAGGUGUAACUGUGUGUUUAUGAGGAGUGACUGUGUGUGUUUAUGUGGUGUGACUGUGUGUGUUUAUGAGGACUGACUGUGUGUGUUUAUGAGGACUGACUGUGUGUGUUUAUGAGGUGUGACUGUGUGUGUUUAUGAGGUGUAACUCUGUGUGUUUAUGAGGAGUGACUAUGUGUGUUUAUGCGGUGUGACUGUGUGUGUUUAUGAGGAGUGACUGUGUGUGUUUAUGAGGAGUGACUGUGUGUGUUUAUGAGGUGUGACUGUGUGUGUUUAUGAGGAGUGACUGUGUGUGUUUAUGAGGAGUGACUGUGUGUGUUUAUGAGG